rnacentral:piRNA from 3 species
UUCGCCUUUUACUAAAGAUUUCCGUGGAGA